CUGCCCGUAGCGCAGUUUGGCAGCGCGCUUGCUUCGGGAGCAAGAGGUCCCGAGUUCAAAUCUCGGCGGGCAGACCA
rnacentral:tRNA from 1 species